AACGAACGCUGGCGGCGUGGAUAAGACAUGCAAGUCGAACGGGGUAAAGUUUGUAGUAAUACAAAUUUUACUUAGUGGCGAACGGGUGCGUAACACGUGAGCAAUCUGCCGGGAAGUGGGAGAUAGCUCGCCGAAAGGCGAAUUAAUACCGCAUAUGGCCAAGAAGAUCAUUCUUCUGACGCUAAAGUAGCAAUACGCUUCCUGAUGAGCUUGCGGCCUAUCAGCUAGAUGGCGGGGUAACGGCCCACCAUGGCUAUGACGGGUAGCUGGUCUGAGAGGACGACCAGCCACACUGGAACUGAGACACGGUCCAGACACCUACGGGUGGCAGCAGUCGAGAAUUUUUCACAAUGGGGGAAACCCUGAUGGAGCGACGCCGCGUGGAGGAUGAAGGCCUUCGGGUUGUAAACUCCUGUCAUGCGGGAACAAGAAAGUGAUAGUACCGCAAGAGGAAGAGACGGCUAACUCUGUGCCAGCCGCCGCAGUAACAC
rnacentral:rRNA from 1 species